CACUGUGUGGCUGUGUCCGAAUUCAGGGGAAGGAUGCUUAAAAUGCCAUAUUUGGAUGCAAUGAUGUCACAGCGACGCGACGAGGGCUGUCCGAAUUCAAAGAGCACUCAUAAUGUGGCGACAAAUGCGUCCUACUUUUCAGCGAAUUUGAGGCUUAGCUGUGUCCGAAUUCAAAGGAAGGAUGCUUCAAUGCCAUAUUUGGAGGCAAUGACGUCACGGCGCCGCGACGAAGGGUGUCCGAAUUCAAAGAGUACUCAAAAUGUGGCGACAAAUGUGUCCUACUUUUCCCCAAAUUCUAAGGAUGGUCCGAUGUAUCCUUCAUGUCCUACUAUAUCCCAGGAUUCAUUCCCUGGUCAUAGAGGAGAUUUGUUUCUGAUAACGAUGGUGUUCGAAGCAGGAGAGGAAAACACUUUCAAAUGACAAUUCUGGAGAAGAUGGACCUGCAGGGGAAAGUCACCCCCUUGCAGGCCAGAAGACAUGAGAUAACUUUAAAGAAUACAAAGAUUGCAAGUAUCCAGGCUCAGGAGAGGGGGUCAGUGGGAAGCCCACUGCUGCUACUUGGCCCUGGUUUGCCCUCAUGGAUGAGGUGAUAGGACAGAUGCCUUCCAUUAAGCCUCUUUUCCUAAUUUCCUCUCUCCCUGAGGACACUCCAGGGCCAAGCGCAGCAGUAGCUGACCAAAACGACAAAGCGGCUCAGCCACCUACGACACGGAGAAAGAAGAAAGGAGACAGGGAUGAUGAGCUGCUCAACAGAGAGGACAUGAGGCAGUAAAGAGAGGCUGAGGAGAGGAGAGCAGGGAGAGGAUGGACAGACUGUUUUCACUUCUAGAAAGAUUAGUUUCCAAAUGA